UACGUAGGCAGCAAGCGUUGUUCGGAAUUACUGGGCGUAAAGAGUGUGUAGGCGGUGCUCUAAGUUUGGUGUGAAAUCUCCCGGCUCAACUGGGAGGGUGCGCCGAAUACUGAAUGACUUGGAGUGCGGGAGAGGAGAGUGGAAUUCCUGGUGUAGCGGUGAAAUGCGUAGAUAUCGGGAGGAACACCUGUGGCGAAAGCGGCUCACUGGCCACACUGACGCUGAGGCGACGAAAGCUAGGGGAGCAAACAGGAU
rnacentral:rRNA from 1 species